AUGGAGGGUGUAGAAAAGAAGAAGAAGAAGGCUCCUGCUGUGCCAGAAACCCUUAAGAAAAAGCGAAGGAAUUUCACAGAGCUGAAGAUCAAGCGCCUGAGAAAGAAGUUUGCCCAAAAGAUGCUUCAAAAGGCAAGGAGGAAGCUUAUCUAUGAAAAAGCGAAGCACUACCACAAGGAAUAUAGGCAGAUGUACAGAACCGAAAUUCGAAUGGUGAGGAUGGCAAGAAAAGCUGGCAACUUCUAUGUACCUGCUGAACCCAAAUUGGCGUUCGUCAUCAGGAUCAGAGGUAUCAAUGGUGUGAGCCCAAAGGUCCGAAAGGUAUUGCAGCUUCUUCGCCUUCGUCAAAUCUCCAAUGGAAUCUUUCUGAAGCUCAACAAGGCUUCGAUUAACAUGCUGAGGAUUGUAGAGCCAUAUAUUGCAUGGGGGUAUCCCAAUCUGAAGUCAGUAAAUGAGCUAAUCUACAAGCGUGGUUAUGGCAAAAUCAAUAAAAAGCGAAUUGAUUUGACGUAACGCUUUGAUUGCUCAAUCUCUUGGUAAAUAUGGCAUCAUCUGCAUGGAGGAUCUGAUUCAUGAGAUCUAUACUGUUGGAAAACGCUUCAAAGAGGCAAAUAACUUCCUGUGGCCCUUCAAAUUAUCUUCUCCACGAGGUGGAAUGAAGAAAAAGACCACCCAUUUUGUACAAGGUGGAGAUGCUGGCAACAGGAAGGACCAGAUCAACAGGCUUAUUAGAAGAAUGAACUAAGGUGUCUACCAUGAUUAUUUUUCUAGGCUCAUCAGUUAAUA